AACGAACGCUGGCGGCAUGCCUAACACAUGCAAGUCGAACGAGACCUUCGGGUCUAGUGGCGCACGGGUGCGUAACGCGUGGGAAUCUGCCCUUGGGUUCGGAAUAACAGUUAGAAAUGACUGCUAAUACCGAAUGAUGACUUCGGUCCAAAGAUUUAUCGCCCAGGGAUGAGCCCGCGUAGGAUUAGCUUGUUGGUGAGGUAAAAGCUCACCAAGGCGACGAUCCUUAGCUGGUCUGAGAGGAUGAUCAGCCACACUGGGACUGAGACACGGCCCAGGCUCCUACGGGAGGCAGCAGUGGGGAAUAUUGGACAAUGGGCGAAAGCCUGAUCCAGCAAUGCCGCGUGAGUGAUGAAGGCCUUAGGGUUGUAAAGCUCUUUUACCCGGGAUGAUAAUGACAGUACCGGGAGAAUAAGCCCCGGCUAACUCCGUGCCAGCCGCCGCAGUAACAC
rnacentral:rRNA from 1 species